rnacentral:rRNA from 1 species
UUUUUGAAAAUAAUAAAAAGUCUAAUCUGCCCACUGAAUUUAUUUAAAGGGCUGCAGUAUACUGACUGUACAAAGGUAGCAUAAUCAAUAGUCUUUUAAUUGAAGACUUGUAUGAAUGAUUUGAUGAAAUAUGAACUGUCUCUUUUUUAAAAAUAAAAUUUAAUUUUUUAGUUAAAAAGCUAAAAUAAUUAUAAAAGACGAGAAGACCCUAUAGAGUUUUAUAGUUACUUAAUUUAAAAAUUUUAUAUAUAAUUUAAAUUUAAAAUUAAUUAAUUAUUUUAUUGGGGUGAUAGAAAAAUUAAAAAAACUUUUUUUAAAAAUUUAACAUUAAUUUAUGAAAUUAUGAUCCAUAAUUUAUGAUUAAAAGAAUCAAUUACCUUAGGGAUAACAGCGUAAUUUUUUUUUUUAGUACAAAUAAGAAAAAGAGUUUGCGACCUCGAUGUUGGAUUAAGAUAAAAUUUAAAUGCAAAAGUUUAAAAUUUUUGAUCUGUUCGAUCAUUAAAAUCUUACAUGAUCUGA